UGGAUCCAGUUUGAUCAUGGCUCAGGAUGAACGCUAGCUACAGGCUUAACACAUGCAAGUCGAGGGGCAGCAUGGUCUUAGCUUGCUAAGGCCGAUGGCGACCGGCGCACGGGUGAGUAACACGUAUCCAACCUGCCGUCUACUCUUGGACAGCCUUCUGAAAGGAAGAUUAAUACAAGAUGGCAUCAUGAGUCCGCAUGUUCACAUGAUUAAAGGUAUUCCGGUAGACGAUGGGGAUGCGUUCCAUUAGAUAGUAGGCGGGGUAACGGCCCACCUAGUCUUCGAUGGAUAGGGGUUCUGAGAGGAAGGUCCCCCACAUUGGAACUGAGACACGGUCCAAACUCCUACGGGAGGCAGCAGUGAGGAAUAUUGGUCAAUGGGCGAGAGCCUGAACCAGCCAAGUAGCGUGAAGGAUGACUGCCCUAUGGGUUGUAAACUUCUUUUAUAAAGGAAUAAAGUCGGGUAUGCAUACCCGUUUGCAUGUACUUUAUGAAUAAGGAUCGGCUAACUCCGUGCCAGCAGCCGCGGUAAUACGGAGGAUCCGAGCGUUAUCCGGAUUUAUUGGGUUUAAAGGGAGCGUAGAUGGAUGUUUAAGUCAGUUGUGAAAGUUUGCGGCUCAACCGUAAAAUUGCAGUUGAUACUGGAUAUCUUGAGUGCAGUUGAGGCAGGCGGAAUUCGUGGUGUAGCGGUGAAAUGCUUAGAUAUCACGAAGAACUCCGAUUGCGAAGGCAGCCUGCUAAGCUGCAACUGACAUUGAGGCUCGAAAGUGUGGGUAUCAAACAGGAUUAGAUACCCUGGUAGUCCACACGGUAAACGAUGAAUACUCGCUGUUUGCGAUAUACGGCAAGCGGCCAAGCGAAAGCGUUAAGUAUUCCACCUGGGGAGUACGCCGGCAACGGUGCAACUCAAAGGAAUUGACGGA
rnacentral:rRNA from 1 species